AGGUUUUACCACGAUUUGAUAUGACGAAACUUAUUUCUCCCAAACCCUAACGAUUCUGCUCCUUCUCCUUUUCUCUCUUUUUCUCCUUUAUAAAACGAAAAGUGACUAACUAAAGCCCUAAUUUCGAGUUUCCUUCUUUUAUAGGCACACUCUAGGGUUUCCAAUUAACCCAACCAAUUAAAUCGGAUGAUUUAAAAAGAAACCCUAACCGAUUUUCCGGUUCACGGGCGUUACAAAGACCAACUCACUUCUCUUUUUCCCGUUUAGACAAUUACUAGCAUGGCUCGAACAAC
rnacentral:sRNA from 1 species